AAAGGCGCGGCUGGGCCGGAGGCCGAGGCUGCGCUGCACCCAGCUCCCGGCGAUCACAUCCAGUCGGCCAGGGCCCAGGGGCCAGGUUCUUCUGUAUACAAGGAGAAAGUAUUCUCUCUCAAACAGUAAACUCCCUUUUAUCACAGAGCAGGCUCCAGGCUCAAAGCCCUAGAUGGAGAUAAAGUAUUUUGAGGAGGGAGGAGAGUGUAUUUCUUCAUUUACACAAAGAUACUCAUAUGGAGCUGGGGGCAGUUCUUCCCCAAAAGGAAACAUUGAACUCAAAGUUCCAUGUAAGCAAGGACUGUGGCUGUCAUGUCUACCAUUGUAUAUCCCAGCACCUAGCACUGGACCUAGUAUAAAUUUUGUGCUAAAUUAAUAUUUAUUGACUGCAUGGAUGAACUCUCUAUUUUAUUUAUGGUUCUUCCAAUUUAUUGCUAUCUGUUUUCCAUUACUUGCCUUCUCUUACCCUGAAAUUAUGCAUCUGGAAUGAAGUAUUUUAAUAAAAUUAUUGAUGAACAUAAUGGAAA
rnacentral:lncRNA from 1 species